rnacentral:lncRNA from 1 species
CAAGCAAGCGCUGUAACUGAAGCCCGAGCCCAGCCCUCCGUACCACCACAGACUUCUGAAGCUGGGAAAGCUUUAGAAGCUGGGAGUUUUCUGAUUCUCUCAUCAUUAUGUUUCUCCUCAGUCUUUAGAUAGAGUGUUUUCCCUUGAAAGGAAGCAAAAUAAAAGGAUCCAGUGGCCAUUGUUUGAAGCUGUGAAAGUGAAGCUUGUAUUGUGUUGGAGACAUCAAGACGUUGGAGAUAACAGAGCAAUGACAGGAUAUCUGUCAAUACUAGCUGCAAACAGGAAGCAGCUCAAGAAAGAGAAAGUUUGGAGUGUUUAAUGUGACCACAUGGCUGAAAUUCAAGCUCAUUGUUUGAUGCUUAGAAAUACUCCAGGAAUCCACUCCAUCUCCACCCUCCCAUCUGCUCCAAAGAACAGAACAUUCUUCAGUCCUGAGGACCUGAGGAUUCUGACUCCUGACUCCAUCAAAACAAAAAGAUGAUACCGACAAAAGUUCUCUGACAUGUGGGAUUUGGGUUUGAAAGGUAGAAGAGGAGGUAUACUUUUAGGAUUGCAAGUGGAAAAACUGCAAGAGAAAUCUCUCAGAGAAAUACAGAACCAUUGUUCAGCUAACGAUGCCAAGGAGUACAGAAGACAACUUCAUGAAUAUUUCCCAGAAAUGCCCAAGUUAAUAUGUUCUUGUGUGCUGGAGGCUCUAACCACUAGUGAGUCAUCAUAGGAAGAGUGGCCACACAAAUUCAGACCACACAAGACUUCAACCUGGGCCCUGAGUAGGUCAAAGACUCACCACACAUUUAAAUUUCCUCAAGAAUAAAUUGAUUGUUGAACUGUACUUUAGAAUUGUAAUUGGAAAAUUGAUAAAGCUCACUUCAUAGUAUUUUCCAUCAUGUGCUUCAGCUAGUAGAAAUGUAGAAAUGCACAAUUAAAUGAUGGCUAGCA